AACGAACGCUGGCGGCGUGGCUAAGACAUGCAAGUCGAACGAACUAUUCUACAGAGUAAUCUAAGGAAUAGUUAGUGGCGUAAGGGUGAGUAACGGAUAGGUAACGUACCUUGUGCUUCGGGAUAGCGUCGUUCGCCUUCGGGCGAACUUCCGAAAGGGGCGGUAAUACCGGAAAUAUCACUUGUUGAUAGACGAGUGAUCAAAGAUUUAUCGGCACUGGAGCGGCCUGUCUCCUAUCAGCUUGUUGGUGAGGUAAUGGCUCACCAAGGCUAUGACGGGUAGCGGGACUGAGAGGUUGGCCCGCCACAUCGGGACUGAGACACUGCCCGGACCUCCACGGAGGGCUGCAGUAACGAAUCUUGUGCAAUGGGCGAAAGCCUGACACAGCGACGCCGCGUGUAGGAGGAAGUCCUUCGGGAUGUAAACUACUGUCAGGGGUAAGAAAGUGCGCUUCGGCGCAUUGAUCCAACCCAAAGGAAGUCACGGCUAACUUCGUGCCAGCAGCCGCGGUAAGACGAAGGUGGCAAGCGUUGUUCGGUAUUACUGGGCUUAAAGCGUGUGUAGGCGGAAAAGUAAGCGUUCUGUGAAAGCCCCCGGCUUAACCGGGGAAUUGCGCAACGAACUGCUUUUCUUGAGGCAAGUAGGGGUGCAUGGAACUCUUGGUGGAGCGGUGGAAUGCGUAGAUAUCAAGAGGAACGCCAGUGGAGAAAUCGGUGCACUGGGCUUGUCCUGACGCUGAGACACGAAAGCGUGGGGAGCGAACGGGAUUAGAUACCCCGGUAGUCCACGCCGUAAACGAUGCCUACUAGGUUGUGGGGGUUCUGACACUCGCACAGCCGAAGCAAAAGUGCUAAGUAGGCCGCCUGGGGAGACGGUCGCAAGGCU
rnacentral:rRNA from 1 species